rfam:Aspergillus rambellii strain SRRC1468 contig00150, whole genome shotgun sequence.
GGCAAGGUGGCCGAGUGGUCUAAGGCGCACGGUUCAGGAUCACCUGACCAAACCUCCGUGUCAAGAAAUUGGCGUGGGUUCGAAUCCCACCCUUGUCA